AAAGGAAUUGACGGGGGCCCGCACAAGCGGUGGAGCAUGUGGUUUAAUUCGAUGCAACGCGAAGAACCUUACCGGGGUUUGAAAUUACCACAAAAGCAGUGGAAACAUUGUGUGUUGGAGUUCGCUUCAGCGGUGGUAACAGGUGGUGCAUGGUUGUCGUCAGCUCGUGUCGUGAGAUGUUGGGUUAAGUCCCGCAACGAGCGCAACCCUUACCUUUAGUUGCCAGCGGGUAACGCCGGGCACUCUAAAGGGACUGCCGGGGAUGACCUGGAGGAAGGUGGGGAUGACGUCAAAUCAUCAUGCCCCUUAUGUCCCGGGCUACACACGUGCUACAAUGGCCCGUACAGAGGGAAGCGAACCAGCGAUGGGAAGCGAAUCUCACAAAACGGGUCUCAGUUCGGAUUGCAGGCUGCAACUCGCCUGCAUGAAGUUGGAAUCGCUAGUAAUCGCAGGUCAGCACACUGCGGUGAAUACGUUCCCGGGCCUUGUACACACCGCCCGU
rnacentral:rRNA from 1 species